UACAAUGAUUGCACAGCCAUUAAAGAUCAAAUCAGUUUCUGAAAAAUGUUCUGUUUUUCUCUCCUUUCUCUGCUUGCUUCUUACUGUCUUUGAGGCUCGGGACCAGCACUCCUGCUGUUGGACAGAAAGACAUCAACUUGAGAUAUGACUGCACUAUGCUGUUGCUGGUGACCACAGUUAAUUCUACAAGACACGCUGUGACACCAGGAGAGAUGAGUCCUCCGUCACAGAUGGUGUGGUCAGUGAAGAUGGUCGCCUGCAGGUUCAAGCUCAUUGCAUUUCCAACCCACAUCCACUGCCACUGUACUUAAGGGAAGUUAAAGACUUUCUUCUGCACCUACAUUUGGAUCACCUCGAUCCAUGACAGUCAUUCAGGCAGUAAUGCCUGGACUGGAAACAAGCAUCCUUAAAAUAAUACAACAUUCCAGCUCCUGUGUUGGAAUGGAAAACAAAUGUGUUGUUUAAAUUAGAGACUGCACUUGUGACAGAACAACAAAUAUUUUAUUUUGAUUAUAUAAGUAAUGUAAGUACAAAACAAACUGUGGUAGGCCUAAACUUAUUUUCAGAAUAAUUACAUCUGAGACUUUGUUUCAUUGUAAGAUUAUAAUUGUUUGUUGUUCAGCAGAACAGUGUCCAGUAUGUUGGCUGUUAUACUUUGUUGUGUUUGAAAAUAAAAGUUGGGC
ensembl:lncRNA